ACUCCUACGGGAGGCAGCAGUAGGAAUAUUGGACAAUGGGCGAAAGCCUGAUCCAGCAAUGCCGCGUGAGUGAUGAAGGCCUUAGGGUUGUAAAGCUCUUUUACCCGAGAUGAUAAUGACAGUAUCGGGAGAAUAAGCCCCGGCUAACUCCGUGCCAGCAGCCGCGGUAAUACGGAGGGGCUAGCGUUGUUCGGAAUUACUGGGCGUAAAGCGCACGUAGGCGGCGAUUUAAGUCAGGGGUGAAAGCCCAGUGCUCAACACUGGAACUGCCCUUGAGACUGGAUUGCUUGAAUCCGGGAGAGGUGAGUGGAAUUCCGAGUGUAAAAAGAGGUGAAAUUCGUAGAUAUUCGGAAGAACACCAGUGGCGAAGGCGGCUCACUGGACCGGCAUUGACGCUGAGGUGCGAAAGCGUGGGGAGCAAAACAGGAUUAGAUACCCUGGUAGGCUCUGC
rnacentral:rRNA from 1 species